UCAUUCAUUACUCCCAAAUGUGAUUAUUAAUAAAAUAGUAUUCUAAAGAGUUACAUCAUUUCUUCAUUGGCAUUAUGCAAGGGAAUAGUUAGGCAAUACCGUCUCAUUCUUUUUUAAAAAAAAUAACAGUGGCUCAAGAGAUAGUGGUCAUGUUGCCAACUAAUGAAAAUGUGCUCUGAAAUCCAGUCAGCUGGGUGGGCCUGAGGCAUACCGUGGGAAAGUUUCCCACAGGCUGAUUUUCUGUCCAUCUCAAGAACCUGUAUGUUCUCUUCUUUCCCUUUCCCCAGGUGCCCCCUGCUGAAUUUAGAAAAGUAACAAUAUAUCAAUCAAUUUAAAAAGGGUAGAAUAUUUUGGAAUGACGGGUUGUAGUGUUUUCUAGAGUGCUUUAGUUUUGACAUUUUAUCAGUAUUUUCCAGAGGUAAAUAAAUUUUGGAAGGAUUAUUACUUCUCUGUUGGGGCCCUAGAACAAUUUAGUCUUUUAUGGAAAAGCUGACUAUCUGGGAUCAUAUGCUCAGUUUGUAUAUUUGAGAUCUGAGAGAUCACGUUCUGAAGUCUUCUCAUAUUUAGUACACCUCUGAUUCUCACUAGUUGAAUGCAAGAACUUGAAAGGUUCAGGUAAGUGUUUUGAAAAAUUUUGACUUUCCAAACUUUUGCCACUUGCUAUCUGAAACUCAGGAAUCAAAAAAUACCGACAGGCACUGUUACUUUCAAAAUUCUUUCUAUAAGUUGAGAAUGGGACAGAUUUGCAGAGCAAGGGAAACUUGAACAGUUACUUCUAGUGGUAGGAAAUGAGGUGGCUAGGAUAUUACCCAGCUGGUGGGUGACUUGGGCAGUGUGUUCCUGCUUUCAGUGGUUAGCCUUUAGCAAAUCUGCUUUAGAGUGAGAGUAGAGGGCAGGCUGUUGUAUUACAGUGCUCUUGUUUUUGUAAAAUUUAAUUCACUCUACUGUUAUUUUGUCUCCUUGGGUAAAGUGUUAUUUAAUUUUUCUUCAUUUUUUAGUAAUAUAUAACAGUCAGUGAGAGAAUUUGGUUUUCAGAGAUG
rnacentral:lncRNA from 1 species